UACAGAGGUGCCGAGCGUUAUGCGGAAUCACUGGGCUUAAAGCGUGUGUAGGCGGAUCUGUAAGUACCUUGUGAAAUCCCACGGCUCAACCGUGGAACUGCUUGGUAUACUGCGGGUCUUGAGCCACCUAGGGGCAAGUGGAACAAGCGGUGGAGCGGUGAAAUGCGUAGAUAUCGCUUGGAACGCCAAUGGUGAAAACAACUGGCUGGGGGUGUGCUGACGCUGAGACACGAAAGCCAGGGGAGCAAACGGG
rnacentral:rRNA from 1 species